CCUACGGGUGGCAGCAGUGAGGAAUAUUGGUCAAUGGGCGGGAGCCUGAACCAGCCAAGUCGCGUGAGGGAAGACGGUCCUAUGGAUUGUAAACCUCAUUAGGCGGGGCGCAAUGCCGGGCACGCGUGCCCGGAGGGAGAGUACCCGCAGAAUAAGCCUCGGCAAACUCCGUGCCAGAAGCCGCGGUAAUCGGGAGGAUUCGGGAGUUAUCCGGAUGUAUGGGGUUUAAGGGGUCCGUAGGCGGAUUUUAAAGUCAGCGGUAAAAGGUCUGGCCUCAACCCGGGCCGGCCGUUGAAACUGGGGAUCUUGAGUGGGCGAGAAGUAUGCGGAAUGCGUGGUGUAGCGGUGAAAUGCAUAGAUAUCACGCAGAACUCCGAUUGCGAAGGCAGCAUACCGGCGCCCGACUGACGCUGAGGCACGAAAGCGUGGGGAUCGAACAGGAUUAGAUACCCUAGUAGUC
rnacentral:rRNA from 1 species